rnacentral:rRNA from 1 species
GAUGAACGCUGGCGGCGUGCUUAACACAUGCAAGUCGAACGGACUACUUUGCUUCGGUAAGGUGGUUAGUGGCGAACGGGUGAGUAACGCGUAGACAACCUACCUCUUAGAUGGGGACAACAUCGCGAAAGCGGUGCUAAUACCGAAUGAAGUGACUUUCCUGCAUGGGAGAGAUACUAAAGGUGGCCUCUAUUUAUAAGCUACCACUGAGAGAUGGGUCUGCGUCUGAUUAGCUAGUUGGCGGGGUAAUGGCCCACCAAGGCGAUGAUCAGUUGCCGGUCUGAGAGGAUGAACGGCCACAUUGGGACUGAGACACGGCCCAAACUCCUACGGGAGGCAGCAGUGGGGAAUCUUCCGCAAUGGACGAAAGUCUGACGGAGCAACGCCGCGUGAGUGAAGAAGGUUUUCGGAUCGUAAAGCUCUGUUGUUUGAGACGAAUGUGCCUGUUUCAAAUAGGGAUAGGUAAUGACGGUAUUAAACGAGAAAGCCACGGCUAACUACGUGCCAGCCGCCGCCGUAA